rnacentral:rRNA from 1 species
GUUGACCUCGGAUCAGGUAGGAAUACCCGCUGAACUUAAGCAUAUCAAUAAGCGGAGGAAAAGAAACCAACAGGGAUUGCCUCAGUAACGGCGAGUGAAGCGGCAACAGCUCAAAUUUGAAAUCUGGCCCUAGGCCCGAGUUGUAAUUUGCAGAGGAUGCUUUUGGUGCGGUGCCUUCCAAGUUCCCUAGAACGGGACGCCAGAGAGGGUGAGAGCCCCGUACAGUUGGACACCAAGCCUUUGUAAAGCUCCUUCGACGAGUCGAGUAGUUUGGGAAUGCUGCUCAAAAUGGGAGGUAUAUUUCUUCUAAAGCUAAAUACCGGCCAGAGACCGAUAGCGCACAAGUAGAGUGAUCGAAAGAUGAAAAGCACUUUGAAAAGAGGGUUAAACAGCACGUGAAAUUGUUAAAAGGGAAGCGCUUGUGACCAGACUUGCGUCCGGUGAAUCACCCAGCUCUCGCGGCUGGGGCACUUCGCCGGCUCAGGCCAGCAUCAGCUCGCUGUCGGGGACAAAAGCUUCAGGAACGUAGCUCUCUUCGGGGAGUGUUAUAGCCUGUUGCAUAAUACCCUUCGGCGGGCUGAGG